rnacentral:rRNA from 1 species
UACGUAGGGGGCUAGCGUUGUCCGGAAUCAUUGGGCGUAAAGAGCGUGUAGGCGGCUCGGUAAGUCCGCUGUAAAAGUCAAAGGCUCAACCUUUGAAAGCCGGUGGAUACUGUGAGGCUAGAGUACGGAAGAGGCGAGUGGAAUUCCUGGUGUAGCGGUGGAAUGCGCAGAUAUCAGGAGGAACACCAAUAGCGAAGGCAGCUCGCUGGGACGUUACUGACACUGAGGCGCGAAAGCGUGGGGAGCGAACAGG